UACGUAGGGGGCAAGCGUUGUCCGGAAUCAUUGGGCGUAAAGCGCGUGUAGGCGGCUUGGUAAGUCUGCUCUGAAAGCCCGGGGCUCAACCCCGGGAGGCGGGUGGAUACUGUCAAGCUCGAGUCCGGAAGAGGAGUGUGGAAUUCCUGGUGUAGCGGUGAAAUGCGCAGAUAUCAGGAGGAACACCAAUGGCGAAGGCAGCACUCUGGGACGUGACUAACGCUGAGACGCGAAAGCGUGGGGAGCAAACAGG
rnacentral:rRNA from 1 species